rnacentral:ncRNA from 1 species
CUUGUCUAGUGCUGUGAAGAGACAUGAGAGGUGUAGAAUAAGUGGGAGGCCAGGAGCGCGUGUGGCGCAGCAGGGUGACCCGCCUGCCAGUGUCCCAGCCGCUGGUGAAAUAACACUACUCUGAUAAUUUCUUCACAUAGCUGGUGAGGUGUGGGGUGAGCCCCUAGGGGGGCUCUGGCCUCUGGUGCCAAGCACCCAGCCAAUUUUUUUAAAGGUUGGACAUCUGGGUCAGGGCAAUCCCCAUUUUCAGUACACGAUGAGG